rnacentral:rRNA from 1 species
UACAGAGGUCUCAAGCGUUGUUCGGAUUCAUUGGGCGUAAAGGGUGCGUAGGUGGCGCGGUAAGUCGGGGUGUGAAAUCUCGGAGCUUAACUCCGAAAUUGCAUUCGAUACUGCCGUGCUUGAGGACUGGAGAGGAGACUGGAAUUCAUGGUGUAGCAGUGAAAUGCGUAGAGAUCAUGAGGAAGACCAGUGGCGAAAGGCGGGUCUCUGGACAGUUCCUGACACUGAGGCACGAAGGCCAGGGGGAGCAAACGGG